rnacentral:rRNA from 1 species
CAGGCCUAACACAUGCAAGUCGAACGGCAGCACGGGAGCAAUCCUGGUGGCGAGUGGCGAACGGGUGAGUAAUACAUCGGAACGUGCCCAAUCGUGGGGGAUAACGCAGCGAAAGCUGUGCUAAUACCGCAUACGAUCUACGGAUGAAAGCAGGGGACCGCAAGGCCUUGCGCGAAUGGAGCGGCCGAUGGCAGAUUAGCUAGUUGGUGGGGUAAAGGCCUACCAAGGCGACGAUCUGUAGCGGGUCUGAGAGGAUGAUCCGCCACACUGGGACUGAGACACGGCCCAGACUCCUACGGGAGGCAGCAGUGGGGAAUAUUGGACAAUGGGCGCAAGCCUGAUCCAGCCAUGCCGCGUGUGUGAAGAAGGCCUUUUGGUUGUAAAGCACUUUAAGCGAGGAGGAGGCUACUUGGAUUAAUACUCUAGGAUAGUGGACGUUACUCGCAGAAUAAGCACCGGCUAACUCUGUGCCAGCAGCCGCGGUAAU